rnacentral:sRNA from 1 species
GAUAAGCAGAGGAGAUAGAGCACAUCUGAGUUGGAAUCGCCGCAUGCCCAUCAGGAGGCCAGGGCUGUGAACCUGCCCGAUCACUGGCAGUCAACCAGGCCCUUCUUUAUCUGGAAAAACUGCCCUUAGGACAGCCUAGUGCUGCAGUGAACAAUGGAGGGAAAUGGAAGCCCAAGCUUCGGUGCUGGGAUCCUGCCACCCACACUCCUUUGCACUGUUAUUUCUGGCAAAGCAGACGUGUGGGAAGAGGUACGAAUGAAGCCUGCGAACGAAGCGGAAGUGGAAACGCGGUGGUACGAGGGAAAUUGAAGAUUGUUUGCCCAGCUUCAGGGAUUUAGUUACAAAAGAGUCAGAGAGCAGCGUCAGUGGGUGUGGGGUGGUGGCUGUUACAGCCUGUGUCUGGAACAUCGCGCAGAGGCUCCUGGGUUGAAGACUUGGUUCCCAGGGCUGCAGUAUUCAGAGGUCAAACGGACCCACUUGAGGUUAACUUCUUUGGAGUUCCUUCCUAUGUGGAUUUCAGAGAGCCUGGAAGGCUGAGCCUCAUUAUGAUGCAACAACCAACCAUGGAUUCCGGUUGUGGCCAUUAGGGGGCAGCAUUUUGGGUUCUGUUCAUUUCCAGAGGCCGUCCUCAUCGGGCUACAGUGAUGUCACCUGAGGGACAGAAUGCACACCUGUCUGAGCUAUGCAGUUCGUGAACCCAAAGCCAGGCCUUUGUUUCAACUGAGCCCAAGAAUAAGAGGCUGAGUCCGUGGAUGGCCUCACUGGGAAGGCUGGUCACCUGAUAUGGCAAGGUGGGGUGAACACCAGAGGACUGUAUCUGUUGUACUUCAUCGCCAU